ACCCCCUGGCAAUGGUCAACCGGACACCAUGUUGGUGGUGUUCUUAGAUCAGUCAGGGCGAAGCAGAUGGCAGUCCUUUGUUCAUCCUAGCUUGAUGCUUGGCUUAGUGGCCAAAGCUGUUUUAUGCCUAGGACUCAUAA